GGCCGGAAAAGGAGAAGAGAUAACGGGAUACAGCUUGAGUUGCUGAUCAAUUUGUAACUAUGUUUAAAAUUUGCUUAGGAGAAAAGAGUGUAACGGAAAUGUGUGAAUUAAUAUGUUAAGAGUUGUAUUAAACUCCCUUCCUGUUCAAUUUUGUUUGAUAUUAUCAUUUACGAGAAGUUUUUAUAAUCACACAAAUAUUUUGGGGUUUUUUUUGGCUUGUUUAGGAUCAUAAUUCUAAAUAUUUUUAUUUUUUCUUAAAUUUGUGACCAAUCAAACAAGUUCACGUAAAUUGGAAGUGAGGAAGUAAGAGUUAUCAUAAUGAUGGGUAAAUAAACUUUUUAUUUAGCCUUUUGUUUUCCAAGAUUAACUUUUUAUUCCUAACCUCUUCUUUCGAUACUUUUUUGACAAGUUCAUGACCUAUUGUACACUUUUCAUGUUCUUUUUCUGUCCAAAUUAAAAGAAUGAUAAGAAAAAAGAAGAAGAAAAAAAAAUAAAAGAAGAAACUUUUAAAGAAUCAGAAAAGUAGAUUCACCCCUUUUCUUUAAAACAUCCCUUCCCAAGUCAAUAAGAAAGUCGGCAAGUACGUAGUACUUUUGUGCUAUGUUGUAAUUGGUUCUAUUCACUACUCUUUCCGUUAAUAAUAAAUGACCAAUUUAUUUUAGAUAUAUUUAUUAAGAAAAUAUUAAAUUCUAGACGAAAAUAGUUAGUGUGACUAAAUUAUCAUUGAUUAAAUAUUGCAGCAUAAUUAUAGUAGCACUUAAUUCUCUUCUCAAAUGUGAGGAGUAAAUAAUUUUUUUAGGAAUACGUACAUAAGGGUAAUUUUAAAAAAAUAAAUUGAAUUUUUUUUUGAUUAUAUAAAUGAACACUUAUUUUGGACCAAAAUAAAAAAAAAAACAAAUUGAUCACUUAUUGUGGAUCAGAGUAAGUAUGUACUAAACAAAAUGUUGUCACAAAGGUAAAAGUUCCAUCGUGUGAGUAGAAGAUAACUAGUUGAAGUCAUAAAAAUAUUCUUUAACAGAAACACAAGGUAAAUUUGUUUAAAUAAGAUUCAAUUUGAUAUGACCCUUCUUCACAAGGUAAUUUUUUUUUCACUAUGUACUAAACUAGUAAGUAGAAAUGUGAAGACCGGAAAAGAGUCAAAGACCGUAGGAAUAGGGAGAGAAACAAGUGAAGGGGAAGACUGGUUUGGUGCUCGAAUUUCU
rnacentral:lncRNA from 1 species